UACGGAGGGUGCAAGCGUUAUCCGGAAUCAUUGGGCGUAAAGCGUACGCAGGUGGUUUGUUAAGUUGAGUAUUAAAUCUUGAAGCCCAACUUCAAGGCUGUGCUCAAAACUGGCGGACUAGAACCUUUUAGAGGUGCACGGAAUUCUGUGUGUAGGGGUAAAAUCCGUUGAUACACAGAAGAACACCAAAAGCGAAGGCAGUGCACUGGAAAAGUGUUGACACUCAUGUACGAAAGCGUGGGGAGCGAAAAGG
rnacentral:rRNA from 1 species